ensembl:snRNA U7 U7 small nuclear RNA
GAGUGUUACAGCUCUUUUAGAAUUUAUCUAGCAAGUUUUCCAGUUUUUAUCAGAAAACCCAU